AAAACUGAGAGAUGCCUCAUGUCAGAAGGCAACUUGUGGUUUUAUAGGUGCACACUUUAAAUUCAGCAUGGAGCCCUGUCUCAAACAGCUGUUUAAAACAAUUGUCUUUCUUGACAGUUACACUGGUGAUACAAUUACAGCCGAUAAAGGCUGGAUGCCUGACCUUGGAGAGAUAGUACUGUGACAAAGUAGCAGCAUUGCGAGCCCAUUCCACCGGGUAGUAGCCACAGUACUCCAGCUGGCGUUUCAGAGUGGUGUGGCAGUACUGAGCAGCCUUCUCAAUCAUGUCCAGGUGCUGGUAGACUUGUGCCAGAUACAAAGGCUCCCAAACCUUCCAGCAAGAUUUGGAGCAUAUUCUGGCAAGACUACAGCUAUUCCUGCCAAUAAAGCAACUGAAAUGACAUGUCUAGAGACAGAUACCUGACAAUACACCAGCUGCCAUGACAGAGCGGGUCCACAAAGGCCCUUUUGUGAAUCUUCGUGUGGCAAGAAUUAAUUUUGAUAAGAGUAUUAUUUUCUUCAGAAUAAAGACACGAAUAUU